GAUGAACGCUGGCGGCGUGCCUAAUACAUGCAAGUCGAGCGAACAGACGAGGAGCUUGCUCCUCUGACGUUAGCGGCGGACGGGUGAGUAACACGUGGAUAACCUACCUAUAAGACUGGGAUAACUUCGGGAAACCGGAGCUAAUACCGGAUAAUAUAUUGAACCGCAUGGUUCAAUAGUGAAAGACGGUUUUGCUGUCACUUAUAGAUGGAUCCGCGCCGCAUUAGCUAGUUGGUAAGGUAACGGCUUACCAAGGCAACGAUGCGUAGCCGACCUGAGAGGGUGAUCGGCCACACUGGAACUGAGACACGGUCCAGACGCCUACGAGAGGCAGCAGUAGGGUAUCUUACGCAAUGGGCGAAAGCCUGACGGAGCAACGCCGCGUGAGUGAUGAAGGUCUUCGGAUCGUAAAACUCUGUUAUUAGGGAAGAACAAAUGUGUAAGUAACUAUGCACGUCUUGACGGUACCUAAUCAGAAAGCCACGGCUAACUACGUG
rnacentral:rRNA from 1 species